CACGUAGGGCGCAAGCGUUGUCCGGAAUUACUGGGCGUAAAGGGCUCGUAGGCGGCCAACUAAGUCAGACGUGAAAUCCCUCGGCUUAACCGGGGAACUGCGUCUGAUACUGGAUGGCUUGAGUUUGGGAGAGGGAUGCGGAAUUCCAGGUGUAGCGGUGAAAUGCGUAGAUAUCAGGAGGAACACCGAUGGCGAAGGCAGAUCUCUGGGCCGUAACUGACGCUGAGGAGCGAAAGCAUGGGGAGCGAACAGG
rnacentral:rRNA from 1 species